CCUACGGGAGGCUGCAGUGGGGAAUAUUGGGCAAUGGGCGCAAGCCUGACCCAGCAAUGCCGCGUGAAGGAAGAAGGCUUUCGGGUUGUAAACUUCUUUGACAGGGGAAGAGCAGAAGACGGUACCCUGAAAACAAGCCACGGCUAACUACGUGCCAGCAGCCGCGGUAAUACGUAGGUGGCAAGCGUUGUCCGGAUUUACUGGGUGUAAAGGGAGCGCAGACGGCAGUGCAAGUCUGGAGUGAAAGCCCGGGGCCCAACCCCGGAACUGCUCUGGAAACUGUGCGGCUAGAGUACUGGAGGGGCAGGCGGAAUUCCUAGUGUAGCGGUGAAAUGCGUAGAUAUUAGGAGGAACACCAGUGGCGAAGGCGGCCUGCUGGACAGUAACUGACGUUGAGGCUCGAAAGCGUGGGGAGCAAACAGGAUUAGAUACCCGUGUAGUC
rnacentral:rRNA from 1 species